CCUACGGGUGGCAGCAGUGAGGAAUAUUGGUCAAUGGGCGCGAGCCUGAACCAGCCAAGUCGCGUGAAGGAUGACUGCCCUACGGGUUGUAAACUUCUUUUAUAAAGGAAUAAAGUGAGGCACGUGUGCCUUUUUGUAUGUACUUUAUGAAUAAGGAUCGUCUAACUCCGUGCCAGCAGCCGCGGUAAUACGGAGGAUCCGAGCGUUAUCCGGAUUUAUUGGGUGUAAAGGGAGCGUAGGUGGGUUGUUAAGUGGGUAGAGAAAGUUUGGGGUUCAAACGUAACAUGGCGAGUAAUACGGGCGGAAUUGAGUGCAGGUGUGACAAGUGGAAGUAGUAGUGUAGAGGGGGAAUGCGUAGAUAUUAGGAGGAAAAGAAG
rnacentral:rRNA from 1 species